AAAAACGGAUGGAUGGAACUUACCAAUAAAUAACAUUACUUUUUACAUGGAUGUGUUUUAUUAGCGGAACAAAAAACCGUUACUAUCGUUUCUACACGGACGUGUUUCUGCAUUGGGCCAGGCAUGCUUUGAAAAAGCACAUUGUUUCCGGUAUCUACAGUUUAGCCGUGGUGUGCUUUUUUCGCUGAUAAACACGAUCAUGUCUCCGCCGGAGGUCGUCCUGGGUUUCCUGGAGGACGCGGAGUCUUGGCGGCUUUGCUCCCCGCAGUUUCCCAGUAAAGUUGGGGGGAAACCGGCGUGGCUUUCCCUGCGAGGCCUGCCCUCGCUGUCCGGGCUGGAGUGUGAGACAUGUCGCUUGCCGAUGCUCUUUCUCCUGCAGGUCUACGCUCCAAUUCCAGGUCAAGACAGAAGUUUUCACAGAACCCUCUUUGUGUUCUGUUGUAAAAACCCCAAAUGUUACGUCCACAGUGACAGCUGCUGUAUGAAAGUAUUUAGAAGUCAGCUGCCUCGGAGAAAUGAGUUCUACUCCUACGAGCCGCCAGCAGAGACCGAAGCUCCGUGCGACUUUGAUUCAAACCAGAGUGUGCUACCCACCUCUGGAGUUAAGCUGUGUUGGGUGUGCGGUUGUCCCGGCAACAAAGCUUGCUCUCGCUGCCACGCUGUCACAUACUGCGGGAAACACCACCAGAUGCUCCACUGGAAGAACACGCACAAGCACGAGUGCUGCUGCGGCGGCCGCAAAGAAACAUCCGCCUGUCCGUUUCUCUUCCCGCAGUUUGAGCUCUUAACAGAGCCUGUGGAGGAAAAGGAGGAAGAGGGGGAAGAAGCAGAUGAGGCCAUCGGUCAGACGGGUGCAGACUGUUCCGCCAUAGCAGAAACACUUGCAGAGAUCGACCUGGAGGAGAUGGCCAUGCAUGAAACGGAGGAAGACCGGGUGUUCCAACGCUUUAAAAGGAAGAUUGCACCAGAGCCUCAGCAAGUGCUGCGAUACAGUCGAGGCGGAGCCCCACUCUGGGUGUCUUUGCAUCACAUCCCUUCAGAUACAGACAUCCCAGCAUGCACCUGUGGCGCUAAGAGGACUUUUGAGUUCCAGGUGAUGCCCCAGCUGCUCAAUAGUCUAUGUGUGGACUCCACGGGAGAGAGUAUCGACUGGGGGACUCUAGCAGUCUAUACCUGUUCUGUCAGCUGUAGCCAUGACGAUGAGUACUGCCUUGAGUUCAUUUGGAAGCAGGACUUCGGCUCAGGCUUGCCAAGUCAAAUUAAACAGCCAUAAAGGUAUACUACGUACAGUGUCCUAUUUCCCCUCACAAUACAUUGUACUGGGUAUUUGACACAUAAAUGACUGACUGGUUUCAGUGUCCAGUAAGUCACACCAGUUUGUUUUAGCCAUCAAUUUCCUCUUCGUGGUUUAUUUACAUUCCCAGCUCUCCAUGACUUGUACGAUGCCAUCACAUAGUUAAUGAUUCGUGGGUAAAAAAAUAAAAUGACAAGACCUUGUACCUUAUCUUCCCAUACUUAAGUACACCUUACUUCAUGCUUUUUCCCAUGACUUCCAAACAGAUAAUCCACACACAAUUAUAGUGAAGCUGAUCUUUAACCUUGGGAUAGUUUGUCACCUCGGCACAUGGGUUAAAAAGGUCAAAUGUUUAGUUAAAAUGUAGGGAAACAAAAGAAGUUGGUAUGUACAAAUUUAUUGAUGCACAGUGGAAAACAUAGACAAUAGCAUUUUGGAUAUGAAAACAUUCAACUGCUUUUGAAAAAAAUGUGGCAUUUAAAAACAAUGUAAAGUACGUGCUAAAGAGUUUAGAGAACAUCAUCAGGCCAAGUAAAAGUACGCAAUCCAAUGUAUAAAAAUUUGUUAUUUGCAGAUGGCGGUGACUUACCGCUUCAUAAAAUGGACAAAAACAAAUAGGUGAGGGUGAAAAAAGGGGUCCCGUGCAUAAUCACCUCUACAUUCAAACAAACGUUUAACCAUUUAAAUUGUAACUUGUGAAAUGGAGCCUCCAAAACUGGGUAUCAAUGAGCAUACCAAACUGAAAACUUAAUUGAAUCACAAUAGCCAGUUGAAUUGUUUAGUCUGAAAUGCAGUUAAGAAAAAGGGCCGAAAAAAAAACAAGCAGACAUUGAUACAAAUGUAUAAAACUAUUUAAAAUUUAACACAAUUUUAAAAAGUCAUGACUGUAGCAUGGCUUUUCCUUUUUAAAUUUAUGUACAAGAGUAUGAACAAAAAAAUAAAAAUAAGCCACGUUGAUCAGGGAUUUAAAAAAAAAAAACAUUUACUGUCCUGUUAGCAGUUAACCUGUAGAGGGCAAUGUAAGAUGUAGGGAAACAUUUAAAAAAACUAAACACAAAAAAAAGUCACAGUUGGGAGGGUAAAAAAGCUAAUUCUACGUGGUCUUGCGGAAACCUUUUAGGAUAGGGUAGAUGUUUUCAAACGCUUCAUAGAUUUCACCUCUCACCUUUGCACCUAGAAAAAAAUGCACAAGAAAAAUUAUUCUACAUUUGUUGCAUUAUUGUGUGCAUCUUUAUCACAAUUCAACUGUAUAUAUGCCCAGCAUCAAGGCUAGAUUUUGAGCAAAACCCUUCAAAUCCACUGUUACGGGACAUCUGGAACAUUUAAAAGUUGUUGACGCUUAGUAUGAUUAGUAUAAUUUGGGAAUUUUAAAUAUGUAUACUGUGUGACUGCCAUCAGAUGAGUGUCUCUCAAAGAUGGAGGGUGUUAAAUAAAAAUCCUACCUGUUAGUACGACCUUCCCGGAAACAAAGAUGAGCAAGACAAUUCUGGGUUUGAUCAUUCUAUAAAUCAAUCCUGGAAACAGUUCCGGUUCAUAACUGCAAGACAGAGGGAAUAAAAGUUGUCAAUGACCACUUUGGCAGAUGGUUCCACCAUGUAUCAGCUUACUGAUCACUUCCAGUUACCUGCUAAACUGUUGAUGUGUGAGUACUAAACCUUCCAGACGAAUGGGGAACUUCACGUCACAGCUGCCCACCAUGUUCUGAAUCUUGAAGUCCAAAAACUUUGCAGGAAAACCCAGCUUUUGCACGACACGAGCGUAUUUCCUGGCCGCUAACCUCGAUUGCUCCUCGCUACAAAAUAUAAGAUUGUUUCAUUUAUGCAUGUACUUUUUAGAUGGAUGAGUAUAAAACACAUGGCUAUUGUCUUUUAUAACUUUAAUUAAUUGUCUCUCUAAAUUACAUAAUUUCUGACCUCUUUGCUCCUGUGCAGACCAUUUUCCCAGAGCUGAAAAUAAGAGCUGUGGUUCUAGGUUCUCGUAUUCUCAUGAUAACUGCAGCAAAACGCUAGAACACAGCAAGCAAGCAAAAAUGUCAACAAAUACGAUAUCAGCACUUAUGUUCCUAGCCUCUGACACCUUUGGCUCUAAAAGUUGUAUGUCUGUCAAAGUGGGUGGCCGUGUAUGUCCACACUGACUUAUGCAGUACUUUGUACUUAUAACAACAUGGUGGACUUGGACAUGAUCAAGAAGUUCGACAAACAAGUUGGCCCUACAAGCAGGUUUCACUGUAUGAAUUAAUCUGCAGGAAAUCUUCAAGCAAGAUUUACUUUUGGGUUGUACUCAGCAUUCCUGGCUCUUAGUGCGAUGGUCUUCAAGUCCAGUUUACAGCCAAGAUUCACUGUCGACACAAUGUUUCUGAUGAACAAGAAGAUAUAUUAAAUUACUUUUUGUGAA